rnacentral:lncRNA from 1 species
AGGGUCUACAAGGAUUCCCAGGACCAGCCGGACCCCCAGGACCUGAGACUGUUGGAGCGCCUGGAUUUCCCGGUAAACCUGGCAUCCCAGGAGACGAGGGGAACAUCGGCCCUGAGGGACCUCCUGGACCAAGAGGAUCCAACGGACUUCCAGGACCUCCAGGCCCACCAGGACCCCCUGGACCUGCAGGGUCUGGUGGUGCUGGGAAUCCUGAAGGAAGCGGGGAGACUGUGAGUGCUUCUAGGCUUUAAUCUUUUCUCUUAAACAGCAGCAAAAUCUGCCCAAACCUU